rnacentral:lncRNA from 1 species
AUCGGUGCAUUCGUCAUGACUCCAGACACUCGUAGCUAUAAUAAAAACAAAACACGUUAUCUUUAAACUACUGAAAUGCUAAUUAAUCGAAAUAAAAAUCGUUUAAGGUAUUAGGUUUAGUUGAUACCAAAGUAUUAAGAGCACCGGCUUUGAAAUGAUGUGGUGAAACUUUACUCUUCUCUCUUGAAACAUAGAUUAGGUUUGGCAUUAUAUACUUUUUGGUAUUGUCCAUAUCUGUCUCACUAUUUUGCAACACCUAUCGUCAAAUUAAUUAGAAUUGAGAUUUAAUUAUAUAAAGAUAUUAGAAUCACAUGUUGCAAACUAUUGUUCUUAAGAAUUUUUUUUUUUUUUUAAAUAGUAUAUGGACCCUGACAAUGCAAAUUCUUAGAAGUACCUGAAUAAUUGUGGGAUGGUCAUGACGAGUGAAUUUGUCGGUCCACAAAUCGAAUACCCCACGAAAUUGAUCGUAUGUGAUAAAUGCAGUCUCAACUUUUCCACUCUUCACCACAUGUUCUACUCUACUCUUCAUGUCUUCAUACAUCAUCUGUUCCACCUCACACUUUAAUAUGUUUGUCUCAUGGCUUUUUAAAAAUUCAAAGAAAUACAGACUUAAUUACUAUACUUAUAAUAUCAUUAAGACAGCUAAUACUCCUAUCGUUUAGGAUAAAUCAUUAAAAUGUCAUGGAUGUUUAACAAUAAUAAAUGAUUAGGAAAUAUCAUGGAUGUACUCAGUCUCCAAAACUCUUGGGGUCAGAAAGGACAUAAUCACCAUUAUUGUCGACAAGAAUGCUAUGAUGGACAACAACAUGUCAACAUUCACUCGUCAUGACCACCCCACAAUUAUUGAGGUAUUUAUAAAUAUAUUUAAAAUUGAAAUUGCAUUCUAAUUUACUAUUCCCUCCGUAUUUGAAUAAAUGUCGUUCUAGCAUUUUUUCUGUGUUUUUAAUUAGUUGUCAUUUUAACAACUUUUACAUAAAAUUUCCUAAAUUACCCUCAAUUAAUUUAUCAUAAUUAAUCAGUCUAAAUUACCAAAACUACAGAUACGAAUCGAUUUUCAUAAAAUUCUGUGCCAUUUCUUAAUUGAUUUAAAAAAUAUAAAAUAUAAUUGUAAAUAAUCGUUUCUCAUAAAGUUAGUUUUGUAAUUCUGUGCCCUUUCUUAAUUCACCCAAAAAUAGUUGAAACGACAUUUUUUCAAAUACCGAGGGAGUAAGAACUUGCAUUGUCAUUGUCUGUUGCUACACAUUUUAUUUUUAUUUGUCGUUAUAAAGUACUCGUUCCAUCCAUGUAUUUUUUCCUCCAUUUAUAUCAUGAUUUAUAAUUUACCCUCGACGAAAGACUACUAAAGGAAAGAACUUGACAAUCAUUGGAACAGUCUUGAGGGGUUUCCCCACUUAUUGUUUAAACGAGAAGACUCAUAAAAUUGUGUUUGACCUACGUAUGCGCAUUUGUCGAAAUUAAAACUUAAAAAUCGUACUAAACCUAAUUAUAAGUUAUUAGUUGAUAAAUAAUAUACAUAUAUACCUUAAUAUUUUCAGCUUCACCACUCCGAGAAUCUGACUUUGAAGAGAAAUAAACUGCAGGAGACCGAUCUUGAACAUUGUUCUUCUUGCAAAAGGGCAACCAAUGCUCAGAGAAUUUAGCAGCCUCCAUAAGAGCAAACAAAGUCAACGACGAUCCUCCAUCGUCCGAUACAUAGACCGAGAUCUUAUCGGACGGAUAUUCAUAUGCCAUCACAGAUAAAGCGGUGUUAACCACCAUCAUCGGAGGCUCCUUGUACGGAUCAGCCGUGCAUAUAAACACGUCCAGCUUCGGAAAGUCCUCCGGUUUAGCUGCAUAUUUCUCAGGGUACUCGGUCCGAUGAACCGGGUUUAACCGGAGGGAAGUUGUGGUUACCCAUAUGAAGGUGAGAACCAUAUCGGAGAGGAGAAGAAGACAUGUUAUAAGAGUGUUGUUUGCUGUGAGAAGUGAGUGUACAUGGUGAUACAUGAGAGCUAUGAUGCCACACGUGUGAAAUACGGCGUAGAUUCUGUAUGGAAUGGUGCGCCCGCACGGAUAACACGUGUGGAGGAUUGCGCCGACGACCGAGUGCUUUCUAUGAGGCUCCAUCGUUUUAGUUACUCUUUUUUACAAAUAGUUUUUGGAGAAGACUGGUAAAGUCAUCUCUACUAGAUUGUUGAUAUUUAUAGCCUUAUAUGCGAGUUUCGUUGUAAAAAAGAGUCGAUAUGUUUACCCGACAAUUUUAGGAUUUCAACAGUGUCACAAAAUGAAUGGUUAAUCUAUGUAAUGUAAGCUAAUUACGGUUUAGUUCCUUCACUAGACUAUUACUGAAGUUUCUUUUAAACUUAACCAUUUUUUAAUUUUUAAAAUAUAUGUUUAAGCUGAUAGCUUAAUUGUAUCCUAUAUUAAAAUAAUUAAAAUUUAGUUAUUAGUAAAAUUGUGUGCAAGCAAAUGAAUAUACAUGCACACAUACAUAUAAAUAAAGGAAAGAUGGUAUUUGUUGAAAAUAUAAAACUCCCUCAUGAAUAAAAAAGGAGAAAAAAACCACGUGGUUGAAAAUAGGGGUUGUGAGAGCCACUACGGCACUGCCUUCACAAUGUAUUGGCGUCGGCGAGAGAGAAGAGAUGAAAAAAAAGCUAUGUACGUACCAUUUUUUUUGUACCUCAUAAUGUCGUAAUCUAACACCUAGCAAUAUUGAUGUAUAUGUUCCAAUUAUUAGUCUAGAUUCACUGUAAACUGGUACAAGUAUAAACCUGUCAAUUUUAUCUUUGGUUUAGAGGUUCGGUUUACCUCACUUUAAUUUGAUUUGGAAUCUGUUUAUGAUGAACCGCCCAUCACCCAAGAAAUGACCAAUCAUAACCUAGAUUCAAAUAUGGUAGUGGUGCGCUAAUUGUAGACAAAAACUAAAUAUUAAGAAGAAUUCAUCACAUUGCUCUCUCUUGCUUCAGUUUAAGCAAGAUGCAUUCAUAGCAUUAUUGUUGAAAAUUAACCCUAAUGGCUAAUGGUGAAGCGUUUUAGUUUUUUGAUAAUGACCUAAUGGUGAAGUUACUUGAGGAGGAAGUAGCAUGACCCUGUAAGAACAAAAGUGAGGAGCCCAGCUAAGAAACAAAUCCUUGAUGUUAAUUUUCCGUCAUCGAUCCUCAACACCAUGGCUUCAUAGAUCGGUAAGCAAUUUACCACCACGAAACUCGCCAGCAUCAGUUCAAGGACGGGUCCUUCUCCCCAAGUGAAAAUAACAUAAAUUCCCCAUACAAAAGCAAGUAGAUUCACUAUGGCGACCGUAGUCAUGGGCAAGAACAUGGACGAAGAGGGCCCGAAAUCAAAGAUCUCUUGCUCGUACCGCUUCAUUUGUUCAUUAUCGUCGUUGGCUUUACUGGUGACGUUGAAUCCUUGAGUCGAGAGGUUUAGGGUUUUGAGAGUGAACUCUGUAAAACCAAAGAAGAAAGAAGAAAGUCCUCUUACCAUCCACAUCCUUUGAUCGUUCCACCAUUUCCGAUAAGUUCCUCCUUCUAAUAAAAAGUCUGAUAGAUCUUGCCCGUAUCCACCGAGAAACAAGCUGAUGUAAAGCCAAAACCACGGAUCCGAUGCCUUGGGGAAGACGCUAAAUCCAUGUAUGAGGGCAACUUGGGGUAAAAGUCCAUAGACGACGAGAGGAAUUGACCAAAACGGCCAAAAUGCAUAGUGGCAAUAGCCUAAGCUCAUUAAUAGGCUCAGUGACUUCAAUCCAUAGGUAAUUGGGUUGUACCUUGAAAAAGUUACUUCAAGAAGUCCAACGGACCAUCGGAUUUGUUGGCCUAUUAUAUCAGUUAGGCAUUUUGGGGACUCUCCAUAAAAUGCAGCCUUUUUAGGGCUGCAAAAUACUGAUCUCCAUCCUUCACAAUGGAGCAUAAAUCCUGUGUAGUAGUCUUCUACUAAUGAGCCGUACCUGAACCCUAUCUGUAAAGUUUUGACAAAUAGAUUAAUUGUGUAACACUACAACUUUUGUAACAAACAAAUAUGUUUUUUUUUAUUCUAGCCAAUUAAUAACAUCUUAUGUUUGAGUUUUUUUUUUUUUUUUUUGAAAAAGAUCUUAUGUUUAAUUAGUUAUUGAAUAAAGAAGUUUUAGUUUUUGAUGGCUAGGAAGUAAUAACAAUACAAUGUCACAGAAAUCAAGAUUGGAGCGUCGAUUGUUUCAAACGAAAUGUUGUUUGCUUUUACAUGUGAAUACACGUAUAAAUGCAAACAUUUUUUUUUUUCAUUUUUAUGUGUGUUUGGUGUUUAUGUUGAUUACACAUGAAUUUUGCUAAGAUGUUUAUAAAUAUGAAUUUUGAGAAGACUAGUUGAUGUAAAGAAACAAAAAAAAUGUAAACUUUACCAAACAAUCAACAUACAUAAAGCUAAGGUUCAUUGUUAUCUUACCUUGGAUCCCCAAUUGGUGUUGCGCUCGUAGUUACAUCCUGCUACAUCGUGUGCCAACGCCAAAAUAUCUUGGUUCUUAAUGGACAUAUCGACAAUCCGAUUUGGUCCAAGUUUUUCUAUCUCAGGCAAAAUCAAACUAGCGGGAGGCCCAUAAAAUGCCCGUCGAUUGAAGAAACACCCAGUUCCCAUAUGAACUGGGCCCGUAAGUCCAUCAAACCCAAUCGUGUUGAUGUCAAAUGGGCGUUUGAGCUCCGAUGCAUAAAUAUCAUUUUUGUUUAUUCCUUGAAAUUUUUGAGGAAAUUGCACAAAUCCUAAACCAAAAUUGAUUUUAGGAUCUGACAAAUAGCAUAGAGCAUGAAGUGGUGUUGUAGGAUUGUUUGAGUACAUGUCACAAUCUAGUGUUAGAAUGAUUGGUGAGUUUGUCAUCACGGCAGAUACUCGUAACUACAAUGAAAACAAAACUUGUGGUUAACGAAAUAUUAUUUAGAAAUGACAGUUUAACCAAGCCAAAAUUUGUCAAGUUAGGGAUUAGUUGAUACCAAAGUAUUAAGAGCACCGGCUUUAUAAUGAUGUGGUGAAACUUUACUCUUCUCUCUUGAAACAUAGAUUAGGUUUGGCAUCAUCUCAUCUGUUUCGUUGUGUUGUAGCACCUUUCCCACAAAUUAAUAGAAAAAAACGAGUUCUUAUUAAUUGUAGAAACUUUUGUUUCUAAAAUAAAACACUCAAAUACACUUUCUUUAUAUGAUACGAUGCGAUACAAAAC